GACGAACGCUGGCGGCGUGCUUAACACAUGCAAGUCGAACGAUGAAGCCUUCGGGUGGAUUAGUGGCGAACGGGUGAGUAACACGUGGGCAAUCUGCCCUGUACUUUGGGAUAAGCCUUGGAAACGGGGUCUAAUACCGGAUAUCACUUCUGACCGCAUGGUUGGUUGUUGAAAGUUCUGGCGGUACAGGAUGAGCCCGCGGCCUAUCAGCUUGUUGGUGGGGUAAUGGCCUACCAAGGCGACGACGGGUAGCCGGCCUGAGAGGGUGACCGGCCACACUGGGACUGAGACACGGCCCAGACUCCUACGGGAGGCAGCAGUGGGGAAUAUUGCACAAUGGCGAAAGCCUGAUGCAGCGACGCCGCGUGAGGGAUGACGGCCU
rnacentral:rRNA from 1 species